UACGGGGGGGGCAAGCGUUGUUCGGAAUUACUGGGCGUAAAGGGCUCGUAGGCGGCCAACUAAGUCAGACGUGAAAUCCCUAGGCUCAACCUAGGAACUGCGUCUGAUACUGGAUGGCUUGAAUCCGGGAGAGGGAUGCAGAAUUCCUGGUGUAGCGGUGAAAUGCGCAGAUAUCAGGAGGAACACCGGUGGCGAAGGCGGGUCUCUGGACAGUUCCUGACGCUGAGGCACGAAAGCCAGGGGAGCAAACGGG
rnacentral:rRNA from 1 species